rnacentral:rRNA from 1 species
AACGAACGCUGGCGGCAUGCCUAACACAUGCAAGUCGAACGAGACCUUCGGGUCUAGUGGCGCACGGGUGCGUAACGCGUGGGAACCUGCCCUUAGGGUCGGCAUAACUCCCCGAAAGGGGUGCUAAUACCGGAUCAUGUCUUCUGACCAAAGAUUUAUCGCGUUUGGAUGGGCCCGCGUUGGAUUAGCUAGUUGUUAGGGUAAUAGCCUACCAAGGCGACGAUCCAUAGAUGGUCUGAGAGGAUGAUCAGCCACACUGGGACUGAGACACGGCCCAGACUCCUACGGGAGGGAGCAGUGGGGAAUAUUGGACAAUGGGCGAAAGCCUGAUCCAGCAAUGCCGCGUGAGUGAUGAAGGCCUUAGGGUUGUAAAGCUCUUUUAACCGGGAUGAUAAUGACAGUACCGGGAGAAUAAGCCCCGGCUAACUACGUG